rnacentral:pre_miRNA from 1 species
UUGGUUUGUCCUAAGUCAAACUUGUUCAACUUUGACCAAAUUUAUACAAAAAUAUAACAACAACUACACUAUCAAACAUAUGCACUAUCAAAAUAUAUUCCAUGGUGGAUUCAACCAAACAAAUUUGAUAUUGUAAAUAUUACUAUAUUUUUCUAUAAGUUUGGUCAAAGUUGCACAAGUUUGACUUAGGACAAACCAAA